CCCUCAACUCCUCAAGUCCCAACUACACCCUCAACCCCUCAAGUUCCAAGGGUACCAUUUAUCCCACCCUUCUCAUCUCUAACUUGUGCUGAAACCUCAGUUAAUUUAGGUUUGUGUUGGGCUCGAGCUUCGGUAGGUACAGCUUUUCAUAAUUAUCAAUUGGCUGCAGGAUGUUGUGAUAUGUUUACACAAUGGAGUCGCGGUUGCUUUGGUGGAAAUGACGAAAUUCCAAGAAUCGUCUCCAAUUUUGUUCCUCCAGCUUUGGUUCAAUAUUGUGCAACCCUUCAUUAGUCAAUUAGUAUUAUUUAGAUUUCUAUAGUAUGGCUAAGCAUAAUUAUGUUUCAGCAUCAUAAUUAGCUUUAUAUCUUAGGAAAAUUAGUUUAUUAUUUAGAUUUCUAUAGUAGUGUCUACAUAAUGUCUCACUGCAUAUUUGAGACAUUAUUAAAUAAAGUUAUGAUGUUUAAGCAGUUUUCUCUUAGUUUAAUUUUUUUUUAUCACUAAAUAUUAUUAGAGUUAAAUCCUUCACUCUCUUAGUCCUAUGAUUUUUUUUUAAAUUACAUACGCAAAAGUGAUGACCCACAGAACUACAGAAUUUCAUUUUUUUUUUAGAACUCAUAAUAUUCAACAUCAAACUUCGUGGAUAAUAUUUUUUUAGAUAAUUUAAUUUCAUAAAAAUUAUCUAUUUAAUUAUUAUUUAUUCUUUUCAUCCUAUAAAUUAGAUUUAAACUGAAUGAGAUUUAAAUAGAAAAUAUUAUAAAUGCAUAUAUAUUCUUAUAAAACUAGUACCAUAAUUGAAUAAAAUUUGUUUGUUAAGAAAUUUUCUUGCUUAGUUUUAUGAUUUUUUAUAGUAAGUUGGUUUUAUUUUUACCUAUAUUUAAUUUGAUGAAUAUUUUAUGUAAUUUGAAAAAAAAAAUUGAUUUUUGAAUCCAAAGCAUAUAUACAUUAUAUAAAAUGAAAAAAGAAAAUUUUAAUAAUUAUGAUUAUAAAAUUAAUAGACGUCACUUAAUUUUUAUAUUUUUAAUUAUUUAUUUAUUAAUUUAUGGAAAAGUGCUGUUUUAUAAAAAUUAAAGAAAAUUAAACUUAUACAUAAAAAUUAAUAAAAUAAUAAAUUAAUAUCAAAUAUUUCUAAUAUCUUUUAUGUUAAUAAAUUUUUUUAAAAAAAUAUGCAUUAUCUAUGAAUUUCUAUAACUUCAUAACUUAACAUUACGAUUUAUAUAUUAAUCUUUAAAAAAAAAAAUUGUUAGUAUAUUAAUCAAAUUAUAUUUAGUAAACUGUUAAUAAGAAUUCUAUUACAUAACCAAUUAUUUACAAUAUUCAUAAUGGAACUGAUUUUUCAAUGUAUACAAUUAUGAUAAAUAAGAUCAAAUAUCAAAAUUAUGAACUUAUAAAUUAAGAGAUACAAAAUAUAUUUAUUUACCUUUUUACGUUCUAAAUACUUUUAAGAAAAAGAGAAGUUCUUUCUAUUUUUUUAAGAAGGAAAUAAAUAUUAAUUGGCUAAUUGAUUUUAAAGGUCAAUUUUUACGUAAUUUAAUCAUUUUAUUUCAAUUUUUUAAUUUUAAUAAAUUAGUUUAAUAUUAAAAUUUUAUAAAAAAAAAAAAAGAAAUUUACAAAUUUAGUCAGUUGAUAGGUAUAUCUAAAUAAAUCAGUCUCUAAUUUUUAUUAAAAAAAAAAACACGAGGAGAGAAGAAUAAAAAGAGAAUAAGUAAAAUUAAUUAGCACCAUUAUUAUAUAGUAUAUAUACAACAUAAAACUUAAAAAAUCACAAACUAAAUUACUAAAAAAAUUAAAAUUAUAAAAAAAACUAAAAAGUAUUAAAUAUUAAUUAUAAUUAAUAAUAAAAUAGAUAAAUAUGCAAAAGUAAAAAAAUUGCGAUAAAAAAAAUAGAAAGAACUUAUCUCUUUUUCUUAAAAAUAUUGUGAAAAUAUUAAGAAUGAUGUUAAAAAAAUAUUUUCUAUGUGAUAAAAAUAAUUAUUAUAAUUUCAUUUAAAAAUAAUAAGAAUAAUAAAAAAUAAAUCAAUUUAAAUUUAUAAUUAAUUUAUUUAAAAUUAAAUUCUAUUAUUUUAAAAUUUAUUCUGAGUAAAAAAAUUAUGAAAUUGUCUUUUUAAGAAAUGCAUUGCAAACAAGGGAGAAAAAAAGUGGAUGACCCACAAAACUAAAGAAUUUAAUUUUUUUUUUUCCAAAAAUAAUCACAAUAUUCAGCAUCUAUUUCAUGGAUAACAUUUUUUAGGGAUAAUUUUAAACAAUAAUUAAAAAUAAAAAUUUGAAUUCAAAAGAAUUUCGGAAGUUUGGAAAAGCAACUUCUCCUUAAUAAAAUAGAAAACUGAUUACAAAUCUAGUUUUGAAUUUUCUUUUUAUUUUCUUUUCUGUAUUUUCUGUGCUUGGGAAGACUACCAUGAUUUGUAUUCCUUCUUAAAUAAACUUGUUUGAAUCAUACGAUACAUAAAUUUUUGUUUGGUGGUAUAAGAAUUUAAUUCUAUAAAUAUAUAUUAAUUAUAAGUUUGAAUCCUAAUUGAAACCUAUAAAAAGAAGCCACAAAAUUCUGAAAUUAAAGCAAUUCUUAUAUAAUUUUUUUUUAAAAAAAAUCACAAUAUACAUCAUUAAUUUCAUGAAUAAUUUUUUUUGAUAAUUUUAAUAGGUAAUUUAAUUUUAUAGGAGUUAUCUAACUAAUUAUUGUUUUCGAUAUAUCAACAUUCAAAAUAUCAUAUGGAUAGUUUGAUAGAUAAUUUAUAAGUAACAAACCUUAUUUUCCAUUUGAGUUUUCAAAUUAGAGAUAAUGACUCUUGAUAUUUAAUUAAAUUAACUUUAGAAUAGGUUAAAUAAUAUUUAAAAAAAAUAAUUUAUUUCUAGAUAAUAAAACGAGUUAUUCUAAUUUAAUUAGAACACUAUCUCAUAAUCUUGUGAUAGUAUUAUAAAUACGCAACUGUUUAAUAAUAUUAAAAUCAUUCCUAUUAUAUUAUUGAUACUGUAGAACAAAAAAAAAAUUAGUUGUUUUUUUAGUAAAAAUGAGAUCUUCAAUUCUGUUCUUAUGUGUUCUUAUUUGCUUAGCAAAGUUGAGGGAGGGGUUAGCAAAUCCUGUUACUUCAGAGGCCACAACUUCAGAUGCUGCUAUUUCAAAAACUGCUUUGAUUGAUUGUGGUUGUACUGCUAUUUGUUUUGGCUGCCCCUAUAAGAUAAAUUGGGUUCAACCUAGACGUGGUUUGAUUGGGAGAUAUUGCACAUGUACUUGCAAUUGUCCACCAAAUCCUUUCCUCCCUAAUCCUACUAAGCCAACACCAUCAACUCCUCAAGUUCCAAGCACGCCAUCAACUCCACAAAUUCCAAAAGUUCCAAAACUUCCAACUACACCAUCAACUCCUCAAAUUCCAAACACACCAACUCAUCAAGUUCCAACUACACCCUCAACCCCUCAAGUUCCAAAUACACCAACUCCUCAAGUUCCAACUACACCCUCAACCCCUCAAGUCCCAGGGAUACCAUUUAUCCCACCCACCUCAUUUCUAACUUGUGCUGAAACCUCAGUGAAUUUAGGUUUGUGUUGGGCUCGAGCUUCGGUAGGUACAGCUUUUCAUAAUUUUCAAUUGGCUGCAGGAUGUUGUGAUAUGUUUACACAAUGGAGUCGUGGUUGCUUUGGUGGAAAUGAAGAAAUUCCAAGAAUAGUCUCCAAUUUUGUUCCUCCAGCUUUGGUUCAAUAUUGUGCAACCCUUCAUUAGUCAAUUAGUAUUAUUUAGAUUUUUAUAGUACUUCAAUGUCUU
rnacentral:lncRNA from 1 species